AUGGCUGGGACCAUUGACCUCGGCCGGCUGAAUUAUGGGGUAAUCACUCUCAUCCCUAAGAUGACGGGUGCCUCGGACAUCCGGCAAUUUCGACCGAUUACAGUGAUUAACGUCAUCUCCCGCAUCCUAGCCAAGGGGUACGCCAUUAGGGUUGCUCCUAUAGCUGACCGGAUCACUCACCCUGACCAGUCGGCCUUCAUUCAGGGCCGCUAUAUCCUUGAUGGAGUCCUAGUGUUCCACGAAGCUCUCCAUGAGGUGCACUCCAAGCACCUCAAGGCAGUCUUCCUGAAACUGGACUUCCACAAUGCGUAUGACACGGUCAGCUGGACCUUCCUUCGGGAAUGUUUGCUUCGGAAAGGCUUCGACGAUCGGUGGGUGACCAGAGUAAUGCAGAUGGUAUCUUCAGGCCGCACAGCGGUGAACAUUAAUGGGGAGAUCGGCCCGUUCUUCCCCACGUUCUGUGGGGUCCGCUAG
rnacentral:rRNA from 1 species